GGAAGAGCUUUUUCUCUCCGUUGAAUUACAAGGAUUGCUUUACUGGAAAAAAUAAUUCUAAAAGAGGAGGAAAAAUGUGAUGUUAAUGUUGUCCACAUGAACUCUACAGAAAUGAAGUAGAUUCAGAGAUACACUAAUGUGUUUUCCUUCUAUCAGCAGAAAUCAACAAUGGCAUCACCUAAUCCUCCCCGCCGGCGCAACAGCAAAGAUGAACCUCCCAGUAUGCUAUAUGAAAUGAUUCGUCUCAAAGAGGAAUUCAUUAGACUCUAUGAGAGAGAUCACCUUGAACUCCAGCAGUGCAUAAAGAGACUGAGUCAUCUCAUCAAUAUAUUUGAAGAAGAUUUCAGACGUGCUACUAAAGUCACCAGAAAUGGAGGAAUAGUAGGAAUAGCUGGAGGGGUCACCAUGAUUGCAGGAUUAGCUUUAGCUCCAUUCACUAUGGGGGCUUCAGCUAUUGUCGGUGGAGCAGGAGCAGCGGUGGCUUUAGGUGGUGGAAUUGGUAAUGGAAUAUUAAUCUUCAUGAAAAUGAAUCAUCAGAAAAAAAUAAGUCAAAUCAUCAGAAAUGGACUUGAAGAAUUUCAGAACAAAAUUAUCCCUCUGGCUGACAUUAUGAAAGUCAUUUGUCAAUACACUAAUGAAAUACUGAGCGAACUUAAUAAACCAGAGCAUGAUAUCAGUGGUUUUAGUAAAUGUGUUGCCUCCGCCAGUGAAAUUGUACGCAUGAUACGGAUAGAUGACAUCGGUGAAGUGGCUGCACAGGUGUCUAAAACUGUGCGUUUGACUGGAACCCUUACAGGAAUUUUUGCUGCCGUUGGCCUUGUGCUUGACAUUCUCUCAGUUAUUGAAGAUAACAAGGUCCUCGAUGACAUGGACAAUCUUGCAAAAAAUGGCGAAAUAAAUGAAAGUGAGAUCAAGUCAAAAGCUGGGAAAUUCAUUUUUGAAAUGAGGAAAGUAAUUAAUGAGUUACAGAACAUCAUGGAUGAGUUUAAGAAAACAAAAGACUCAAUUUUAAAAUGAAUGGAUCGAACUAGACAAAAUGAAACAAUGUGAAUAGCUGUGACAACUUGUUGGCAGAUCUCAAAUCACCUGACAGAGGACAACAGAAUUCCAGCUACUAACAUCUCGUGAAAUUUAAUGACUUGAACAUUCCACUGUAGCAUGCUUUUGUAAACUAUUUUUUUAAUGCUAUUCACCUGUGGAUAAACCAGAAGACAGUAUAGUCUAUAUAUUAAUAAUUUCAAGAGGUGUAUCAUACAGUAAAACUACAUUAUUUUACUUGUUUAAUGUAUUCUCAAUUGUUCUUGAAUUAAUCAUGACACAGUGAGGACAAUUUAA